rnacentral:rRNA from 1 species
CCUACGGGGGGCAGCAGUAAGGAAUAUUGGUCAAUGGGCGGAAGCCUGAACCAGCCAAGUAGCGUGCAGGAUGACGGCCCUACGGGUUGUAAACUGCUUUUAUACGGGAAUAACGCGCCUUACGUGUAGGGCUUUGCAUGUACCGUAUGAAUAAGGACCGGCUAAUUCCGUGCCAGCAGCCGCGGUAAUACGGAAGGUCCGGGCGUUAUCCGGAUUUAUGGGGGUUAAAGGGAGCGUAGGCCGCAUGUCAAGCGUGCGGGGAAAGGUCCGGGCUCAACCCGGGCCUUGCAGCGCGAACUGGCGUGCUUGAGUCCGCGGCACGCAGGCGGACUUCGUCGUGUAGCGGU